CCUACGGGUGGCAGCAGUAGGGAAUAUUGCUCAAUGGGGGAAACCCUGAAGCAGCAACGCCGCGUGGAGGAUGAAGGUUUUCGGAUUGUAAACUCCUUUUGUAAGAGAAGAUAAUGACGGUAUCUAACGAAUAAGCACCGGCUAAACCCGUGCCAGCAGCCGCGGUAAUACGAAGGGUGCAAGCGUUACUCGGAAUCACUGGGCGUAAAGAGCGCGUAGGCGGGAUAGUAAGUCAGAUGUGAAAUCCUAUGGCUUAACCAUAGAACUACAUUUGAUACUGUUAUUCUAGAGUAUGGGAGAGGUAGGUGGAAUUCUUGGUGUAGGGGUAAAAUGCGUAGAGAUCAAGAGGAAUACUCAUGGCGAAGGCGACCUGCUAGAACAUAACUGACGCUGAUGCGCGAAAGCGUGGGGAGCAAACAGGAUUAGAUACCCCGGUAGUC
rnacentral:rRNA from 1 species